GAUGAACGCUGGCUACAGGCUUAACACAUGCAAGUCGAGGGGAAACGACGGUGCAGCUUGCUUCCCCGGGCGUCGACCGGCGCACGGGUGAGUAACGCGUAUCCCACCUGCCUCUGACUGAGGGAUAACCCGUCGAAAGUCGGCCUAAUACCUCAUGGCAUCGUCUGCGGGCAUCCAACGACGAUUAAAGAUUUCAUCUGUCAGAUAUGGGGAUGCGUCUGAUUAGCUUGUUGGCGGGGUAACGGCCCACCAAGGCGACGAUCAGGAGGGGUUCUGAGAGGAAGGUCCCCCACAUUGGAACUGAGACACGGUCCAAAAGCCUACGGGAGGCAGCAGUGAGGAAUAUGGGGCAAGGGGCGAGAGCCUGAACCAGCCAAGUAGCGGGCAGGAGGACGGCCCUAGGGGUGGUAAACUGCUUUUAAGCGGGGAUAAAGUGAGGGACGGGUCCUUCAUUGAAGGUACCGCAUGAAUAAGGACCGGCUAACUCCGUG
rnacentral:rRNA from 1 species